rnacentral:lncRNA from 1 species
GUUCAGUUUGACACAGCCAAAGAUGUGUGGGAUGCGGUUAAGAGAAGUUAUCUUGAUGUCUCUGAUUCAUCUCAAGUUUAUGAACUAAUGAAAAAAUCUUUUCAACUGAGGCAAGAGGGGCGGCCUCUUGUCACAUACUACACUGAAAUGAAUUCCAUUUUUUUGGAGCUUGACCAUCGCAGACCUAAUUCCAUGAAGUGCGCCGCCGAUGUUGAUGCAUUAAAGAAGAGGUGUGCUGAAGACAGAAUUUAUAUGUUUUUGGCGGGACUUGAUCAUGGUUUGGAUCAAGUGCGUAGUCGUAUUUUGGCUACUACACCCCUUCCAAGCUUGGAAGAGGUGUUCUCGACUGUUCGUCGUGAGGAACAGCGACAACUCACUAUGGGGGGCGAAAGCCAUUCUGAGGCGUCUGCGUUGGCUGUAAAAGGGUUCAAUCCUCGAUCACGAGCUCCUAUUCAGUCUACUGAAAUUUGCUCAUUCUGUCACCUAAAAGGACACACUGCUGACAAGUGUUUCAAAAAAAAUGGCUAUCCAGACUGGUAUUUAGCAAAGAGGGCAGAGAAGAGGGGUGGAAGAUCAUCUCAGACUACGCAUUCAUCUCAUGCACCUACAGCUACUGUUUCUCAUGUUGCUCGUUCAUCUUCUGGAGAAGGUACUUCUGGGGUGCAAUCUGCUUCUACUGUAUCUGAUUUUUGGGUUAUAGAUUCUGGAGCUACUGAUCAUUUUACCUGUAAUCCCUCUACAUUUGACUCGUUGACAAAUUCGCCUGUUCAGUCUGUUCAGGUGGCUAAUGGGACUCCUGUCAAAAUUACUGGGGCUGGGAAUGUCUCGUUUUCACCUACUUUCUCAAUCUCAUCUGUUUUACUUGCUCCUACGUUUUCCACUAAUCUCUUAUCUAUUAGUAAAAUUACAAAGCAUCUUGAUUGCUCUGUCAUCUUCUCACCUACUCAUUGUGUAUUUCAGGACAAUCGAACGAAGAUGACGAUUGGCACUGGUAGAGAAAGAGGAGGGCUG